AUACGUAGGGUGCGAGCGUUGUCCGGAAUUACUGGGCGUAAAGAGCUCGUAGGUGGUUUGUCGCGUCGUCUGUGAAAUUCCGGGGCUUAACUCCGGGCGUGCAGGCGAUACGGGCAUAACUUGAGUACUGUAGGGAGACUGGAAUUCCUGGUGUAGCGGUGAAAUGCGCAGAUAUCAGGAGGAACACCGGUGGCGAAGGCGGGUCUCUGGGAAGUAACUGACGCUGAGGAGCGAAAGCAUGGGUAGCGAACAGGAUUAGAUACCCAGGUAGUCCAUGCCGUAAACGGUGGGCGCUAGGUGUAGGGGUCUUCCACGACUUCUGUGCCGUAGCUAACGCAUUAAGCGCCCCGCCUGGGGAGUACGGCCGCAAGGCUAAAACUCAAAGGAAUUGACGGGG
rnacentral:rRNA from 1 species